AAAGUUUUUUAACCACCCUUAUUAAAUAAUGCUUUUUUCCCUCAACUCUCCCUGUCCUGUUCUAUGUUUCUGGACAACAUACAUUAUAAUACAAGGACAGAUGAUGGACAUGAACAUAUUCAAGCACACCUGUUACAUAUUCAUUUUUUGUCUUCCUGAUAUUUCCUUGGCCCACCUCUUGCAAUACAUAGCUGUUUAGUCUUUGUAACUAAAGAAGAAUUGUGGAUUGAUAAAGAAAACAAAUAAAAGUGAUUUAAUUAUUACCCUUAAUUCGAUUAUUGCUUUAUAAGAUUCUGAUUUUUGUAAAUGUGUUACCAAUGAAAUACAGCAAAUGAAUGGACAUAUUGGCAAAUAUUUCCCUCAGGCUCAGCCAUCCUAU